rnacentral:rRNA from 1 species
CCUACGGGAGGCAGCAGUGGGGAAUAUUGGGCAAUGGGCGCAAGCCUGACCCAGCAACGCCGCGUGAAGGAAGAAGGCUUUCGGGUUGUAAACUUCUUUUCUCAGGGACGAAGCAAGUGACGGUACCUGAGGAAUAAGCCACGGCUAACUACGUGCCAGCAGCCGCGGUAAUACGUAGGUGGCAAGCGUUAUCCGGAUUUACUGGGUGUAAAGGGCGUGUAGGCGGGAAAGCAAGUCAGAUGUGAAAACCAUGGGCUCAACCUGUGGCCUGCAUUUGAAACUGUUUUCCUUGAGUACUGGUGAGGCAGACGGAAUUCCUAGUGUAGCGGUGAAAUGCGUAGAUAUUAGGAGGAACACCAGUGGCGAAGGCGGUCUGCUGGACAGCAACUGACGCUGAGGCGCGAAAGCGUGGGGAGCAAACAGGAUUAGAUACCCGGGUAGUC